GGUUGCUUGGCCGAGCGGUCUAAGGCGCCAGAGUCAGAUUCUGGUCCGCAAGGGCGUGGGUUCAAAUCCCACAGCAGCCA